AGAAAUAUUUAAAAUUAAGCUUCUAACUUAAAUUAAAGUGGAAUAAACCAUUAUAUUUCUA
rnacentral:tRNA from 1 species